rnacentral:rRNA from 1 species
GACGGGGGAUGCAAGUGUUAUCCGGAAUAAUUGGGCGUAAAGCGUCUGUAGGUGGUUUACCAAGUCUGUUGUUAAAAAUCAGGGCUUAACCCUGAUCCGGCAACAGAAACUAGUAGGCUGGAGUACGGUAGGGGCAGAGGGAAUUUCCAGUGGAGCGGUGAAAUGCGUAGAUAUUGGAAAGACCACCAAUGGCGAAGGCACUCUACUGGGCCAUUACUGACACUGAGAGACGAAAGCUAGGGGAGCGAAUGGG